rfam:Myotis brandtii contig157497, whole genome shotgun sequence.
GCCUGUGUAGCUCAGUGGUUAGAGUAUUGGGUUGCCUACCAAAGGGUGGCGGGUUCCAUUUCCAUCAAUGGCA